rnacentral:rRNA from 1 species
GCCAGACUCCUACGGGAGGCAGCAGUGAGGAAUAUUGGUCAAUGGGCGCGAGCCUGAACCAGCCAAGUCGCGUGAGGGAUGACGGCCCUAUGGGUUGUAAACCUCUUUUGCCGGGGAGCAAAGUGCCGCACGUGUGCGGUUUGGAGAGUACCCGGAGAAAAAGCAUCGGCUAACUCCGUGCCAGCAGCCGCGGUAAUACGGAGGAUGCGAGCGUUAUCCGGAUUUACUGGGUGUAAAGGGAGCGUAGACGGCAGCGCAAGUCUGAAGUGAAAUCCCAUGGCUUAACCAUGGAACUGCUUUGGAAACUGUGCAGCUGGAGUGCAGGAGAGGUAAGCGGAAUUCCUAGCGUAGCGGUGAAAUGCGUAGAUAUUAGGAGGAACACCAGUGGCGAAGGCGGCUUACUGGACUGUAACUGACGUUGAGGCUCGAAAGCGUGGGGAGCAAACAGGAUUAGAUACCCGAGUAA